rnacentral:rRNA from 1 species
UACGUAGGGUGCGAGCGUUGUCCGGAAUUAUUGGGCGUAAAGAGCUCGUAGGCGGUGUGUCACGUCGGCCGUGAAAACCUGCAGCUUAACUGUGGGCGUGCGGUCGAUACGGGCAUCACUGGAGUUCGGCAGGGGAGACUGGAAUUCCUGGUGUAGCGGUGAAAUGCGCAGAUAUCGUAAGGAAGACCAGUGGCGAAGGCGGGUCUCUGGACAGUUCCUGACGCUGAGGCACGAAGGUCAGGGGAGCAAACGGG